UGUCAGAAGUGGGAUGCGAACCCACGCCUACAAGAGUAGACUAACUCCGCCCUUGUCGGUCCCAAGCCCGGAUGAAAAAGGUGGAGGGGGAGCAGUAACAAGCUCACUAAAAAACCUGGUCUCAGCUGGCCCGGCUGAUAGUACCCUGUAAGGGCUCCUAAUCCAGGAAUACAGAAUGAGCAGCAUUUGUACUCCAUGUUAGGAGUGGCUGCACAUGGCGUCUGUUCCUCAUGUCAGAGGCGGCCAUUUCUUUUGGAGCUAAGUCGGCCUGCCACUGAGUAAUGCUCCCAGUCUUAAUGACAAAGGCAGACGCAUUCUAUUUCACUCAGUGUGGAGAUAAGAAAGAAGAAGAGUAGACUGCGACCUUGCGCCUUAGACCGCUUUGCCAUACUGAC